AUGGCUGUCAUGCUGAAACCCUGGACCGUCAUCGCUACUCUCCUUUUCUGCGUGCUCCUGUGUCUCGGGACAUUUGUGGACGCCUAUCCGCCUAAACCAGAGAAUCCCGGAGAUGACGCUGCUCCGGAGGAACUCGCCAAAUAUUACACAGCGCUGAGACACUACAUCAACCUCAUCACGAGACAACGGUAUGGAAAGAGGUCCACUUCGGAGGAUAUGAUGGCUGAGUUGCUGUUCGGAGAUGACACAGAGCGCAAACAGAGAUCAAGAUAUGAUGACUCUUAUAUGUGGUGAAGUUCAGAGACCCCCGUGUCGCCUGUCCUGAGCUAAGCCCACCUGUGCCUCCCACAGAAAACCUCCAGACAACUAUAUGAGAACUAGUCACCAUCAGACAACCUCAUCCACCUCUUUGUUGAAUACAUCCCCUCUUUUUCUUUCAUGUGCACAGAACAAAUAUCAUUAACAACUGUACAUAAUAUAUUAUAAUAGGAACUAACAAUGGAAAUGUAUAUGUGUAUACUUCAUUGUGUCAUACAGAAAUGAUGUAGAAAUAGAGUUCUGUUAGAUCCCACACGGCAAUAGCACUACAUGUACGUGAUACUUUCAUUUUAUUCAUUUCUUUGACCACAAGUCAGAGCUAAAGUCUCAUUCUACAAAACAGCAACUGCUCAUUCGAUUUUUAACAGCAUAAUUAUAUAAAUAACAGUUAACACAUAACACUUAGGGUCACUAUAUUAUUAGCUAAUAUUUAUUUAAUGCUGUGAGGUUCUCUUUUUAUAUUUAUAUAACACGUUAAACACAUUAAUAAAAUAUUUUUUCGUUGCUGAACCUGCUACUACAUGUUAAUGAACUGAUUGGCACUGUUAUGUAAAUGAAUGGAGAGCAUUUAAAGCGGUCUGUCGAGAACGUUCUAUUGUUGACACGGCCCUAUAGCCACACACUGGCUGGUGGGUCCCACCUACUGAGCGUUGCCUCUUUAUGUCUACGCAAUGGCUAGACUCUGAUUUGACGCUUUGUAGCGGUUCAGACACCUCUCACAGAAUCAAAACAACGUUACGAGGCGUCUACGUUACUGGAAAGAUUUCAAACAUCAUGCCUGUGGCAGCCACCGGCACAGAGCAUGCAGUGCCGCAGGUGCUGGACACACUGAGUGACAGCACCAGCUCCACCACUGCCAAUGACCUGGACCUCAUCUUCCUCAAGGGCAUCAUGGAGAGCCCGGUGGUCAGUUUUCAGCCCCAAACAUACCGCAGUCAUUAUUGCCAAAAAAAUUAAAAAUAAUAAUAAAAAAGUUGUGACUAUACAUUAUCCCACUUAUAGCUACUCAACAAGUUAAUACAUUUAUGAAUUAUUGAUUUAAAAUGAAUUUAUACCACCUGUCAAAAAUGUGGGAUAAUUAAGAUUUUCAAUGUUUUCAAAAAAAGUCUCUAAUGCUUACUAGAUGCAUUUAUUUCACCAGAAGUACAGUAAAACAGUAAUAUUGUGAAAUAUUAUUACAGUUGAAAAAUGUUCUGUUUGAACAUGUAUUAAAAUGUCUUUUAUAAAUAAUGUCUAUUAUUUGGUACUCAAUUAUUAUCAAUUAUUAUUGAGAAUGAACUAUUAAUAACGGUUCUUAUUAUUAUAAAUGCGGAAGGUUUGCUGCUGAAUUUGUGGAAACUGUGCUACAUUUUCUCAGGAUUCGUUGAUGAAUAGAAAGUUCAAAAGAACAAUUCAAAAAGUUCAUCAAGCUAAUCUUUCUAUACAAACUACUGAACGCUCGUAUAUCAGUUACCAACUGUUUCAACAUUAAUAUUGAUAAAAGGAAAUGUUUCUUGAGCACCAAAUCAGCAUUAAUUUCUGAAGGAUCAUGUGACACAAAAGACUCGAGUAAUGACUGCUGAAAUACCUAUUUUCAGAAUUUUCAGAAUUUAAAAGUUGUUGAUUCUUUCAUGUAUUUGGAUGGACCAGUAUCAGUCGAAAAAAUAUUAGAAUAAUAUUGUAUAAGAAACAUGCAUGCACACACAUAAAUAAGAUAAUAGUAAAUAAUGUGUAUGAUAAAUGUCUUUUAAAUAUAUCUGAAUACGAAUAAAAUAAAUCUUGCCGAAGUCGUCAAAAG
rnacentral:lncRNA from 1 species